UACAUGAAGCUGGAAUCGCUAGUAAUCGCGAAUCAGCAUGUCGCGGUGAAUACGUUCCCGGGUCUUGUACACACCGCCCGUCACACCAUGGGAGUUGGAAAUGCCCGAAGUCAGUGACCCAACCGAAAGGAGGGAGCUGCCGAAGGCAGGUUCGAUAACUGGGGUGAAGUCGUAACAAGGUACC
rnacentral:rRNA from 1 species